UGUUAAAAGUUUCAUCUUUUUGAAUAAAAAUUAGCAUGAUUGAUAGAAUAAUAAGACAAAAAAGCUGGGCGUGUCACGUGUACCUCAUGUCGACAUACAAUGACAAAUUUUUAACAGUAGAAAUAGAUAAUUUUUUUAGUA
rfam:Gossypium raimondii Chr03_contig_921, whole genome shotgun sequence.